rnacentral:rRNA from 1 species
AACGAACGCUGGCGGCAGGCUUAACACAUGCAAGUCGAGCGAGCCCUUCGGGGCUAGCGGCGGACGGGUGAGUAACGCGUGGGAACGUGCCCUUCUCUGCGGAAUAGUCCUGGGAAACUG